CUGUGUGGCUGUGCAGAGCCUGUGACGUCCUCUCUCUCUGCCUCAGUUUCCCUCCCCACUGUCUCCUGAGGAUUUGGAGGAGCCUUUCCAAAGGCAGAUUUGCAGGAUGCUGAAAAAAAAAAAAACUUCGGGGCUCCUCCUCACUAAAUAGAAAUUCACUUUCAUAAGCAGAUCUGUGUUUGUGAUUCUGUUUUUCUUUCUUUUUUAAUUUUUUUGAUGUUUAUGUAAAUUUAAGAGAGAGAGAGAGAGACAGAAUGUGAGCGGAGAAGGGCAGAGAGAGAGAGAGAGACACACACGCACAGAAUCCAAAGUAGGCUCCAGGCUCUGAGCUGUCAGCACAGACCCCAACGGCAGGGCUUGAACCCAUGAGCCGUGAGAUCAUGACCUGAGCCGAGGUCGGACACUUAACUGAGCCACCCAGGCGCCCCUGUGAUUCUGUUUUUCUUAAAGACAGACCCCCAAAAUAUAAGCUCUGGCUCCCCAAACCUGACCUGCCUGAGACCCUCUCUCUGCUUCUUCCAGGGCAUAUCCAGCCCCACCCCCUUUCUGCCCAGAAGUCAGUGCCCGCCCCGCCGCAGGUCCCAGAGCCCCGAUGGGGACCUGGAGCUUGGAAGAUAAAGGGACCGGGACAUCGUCCACCUGUGUAGAAGACUGGUCAUUUGGAGAGAGUUCGCCCAGCCCAGCGCCAGACAGGGAGCCCCAGGAGCCCUCCUGCCACCUUGCCCUCUGCGGAGACAGCCCUCCAGCCCCUCAGGCCUGGGCCCUGAGCUCUCAACAGGCCCCACGACUCGUCCUCCUGGACUUCAAGCCUCCAAGGAGGCACCUCCUUUCUGCAGCUGCAGCAGGUCAAGAGCCUCAUCCGAGGAGGAAGUGAAAGCCCUGCGUGGGUGAGUCAUCGAGGGGCCUGGCCUGGAGGGGCCUGCCGGGAGUGGCACGGGGCGGGGAGAAGAGCCUGGCAGGAAGGGGUGCCACCACGAGGAGGGAGAGCUAGGAGGCCACCGAACGUGAAGGACGUGAAAUCACCUGCAGACCCUGGUGGUCUUCAGCGGGAGAGGACGUGCAGAGAUACCAUCCACAGUCGUGUCUCUGAGGGCUGGCGUGGGGCAGAGCAGCCAGACAGGGAGGUCACAGAGGUGACCUAGGCAGUCACCUAGCAGUGAGGGUGGCCACUGGCAGGCGGGGAGGUGGGCAGGCCGUGGGCUCUGGAUCUCAACCUCCUGACUCGGGGCCCCGGUCCUGCCUCUCACUAGCUUCGUGACCGCAGGCACACGGCUUCCUCUCUCCUUUGCCCUGCUUCCUCUUCCGUCAAGUGGUGAGGGUCCCUAACCUGGACAUGAGCCUCUGAAAGGCACCUGGAAGCGUCCCUGGUCCAAGGAAACCGCAACAAACAGCGACUACUGUACCAGGCAGGGUCUCUGCAGGAAAACCAAAACACUCGGUUUCUAAAUUAUUUUCAACAUUUACUUACUUUUGAGAGACAGAGCGUGAGCAGGGGAGGGGCAGGGAGAGAGGGAGACACAGAAUCCAAAGCAGGCUCCAGGCUCUGAGCUGUCAGCACAGAGCCCGAAGCAGGACUCGAACUCACGACCCGUGAGAUCAUGACCUGAGCCGAAGUCAGACGCUUAACCGACUGAACCAUCCAGGCGCUCUUGAAACACUAGGUUUCUAACAGAAGGAAGUCAAUAUAGGGACUGGCAAGAAGGUUAGAAGAAACCCAGUGGGGGGAUAGUGCUGCUACCCACAGAUGAGCGACAGCGGGAAGCUGGUGGCACCUCCAAGCCUGGAGGCCAACGGGAGUAGGUGACUGAUCAGAGGGAGACACGAGGAGAAGGGCACUUCACAUCACAGCGGGGAUGGGUUGUGCUCACAGGGGG
ensembl:lncRNA